rnacentral:rRNA from 1 species
AGCGAACGCUGGCGGCAGGCCUAACACAUGCAAGUCGAACGAACCUUUCGGGGUUAGUGGCGGACGGGUGAGUAACACGUGGGAACGUGCCUUUAGGUUCGGAAUAACUCAGGGAAACUUGUGCUGAUACCGAAUGUGCCCUUCGGGGGAAAGAUUAAUCGCCUUUAGAGCGGCCCGCGUCUGAUUAGCUAGUUGGUUGAGGUAAUGGCUCACCAAGGCGACGAUCAGUAGCUGGUCUGAGAGGAUGAUCAGCCACAUUGGGACUGAGACACGGCCCAAACUCCUACGGGAGGCAGCAGUGGGGAAUCUUGCGCAAUGGGCGAAAGCCUGACGCAGCCAUGCCGCGUGAAUGAUGAAGGUCUUAGGAUUGUAAAAUUCUUUCACCGGGGACGAUAAUGACGGUACCCGGAGAAGAAGCCCCGGCUAACUUCGUG